rfam:Schistosoma rodhaini strain Burundi genome assembly, scaffold: SROB_scaffold0001440
AUCCAGCUGACAAGUCCCAAAUAGGACGAAACGCGCGUUAAAUUGGAU